rnacentral:tRNA from 1 species
GCGCCAAUAGCUCAGCUGGAUAGAGCAACUGCCUUCUAAGCAGUAGGUCUGUGGUUCGAGCCCACAUUGGCGCA